UACGUAGGUGGCAAGCGUUGUCCGGAUUUAUUGGGCGUAAAGGGCGCGUAGGCGGCGGGGUAAGUCGGGUGUGAAAUCUCAGGGCUCAACCCUGAAACUGCACUUGAUACUGCUCUGCUUGAGGACUGGAGAGGAGACUGGAAUUCACGGUGUAGCAGUGAAAUGCGUAGAUAUCGUGAGGAAGACCAGUGGCGAAGGCGGGUCUCUGGACAGUUCCUGACGCUGAGGUGCGAAGGCCAGGGGAGCAAACGGG
rnacentral:rRNA from 1 species